rnacentral:lncRNA from 1 species
UAUGAGGACAUGAAACUGAUUAAACAGAAAGGGAAAUACAAUUGAACAAAGAAUGAUGCUGAAGAAUCUAUCUUUCCUGUUUCUUCUGCCACUCUCCCCAAAACAAAUAUUUAAAAUUGACUGACUAGCUAUUAUCCUGAGUUGCCACCUCCUUCAUGAAAUGAAGGAUAAGGUGGGAUUUCCAUUAACUGAUACUUCCUAGUGAAUAAUAUUCAUCAGACCUUUUCCAGAAAUGCCUUUGCCCCAGCUCCAUGGCUCUUUGGGGGAUACUCUUUGGGCUGUAGCUGGCUUCUUGUGCUGUGACCUCUCUAAUGGGACCUCUCUAAUGCCAUGUAGUUCCAUCAGAUCUCCCUCUGGGAUCAUCUGGACUUACAUAUGUGUCUCAAGAUGAUGUCCUGAAGGAUUUCUGUUUUAUCCUUCCUGAUGACCGUUCACCUUGGGGUUAGAAGUGUGACUUAAAAAAUCAGCAAUAAAGUAGCUAAUAUACUUUGUCAUUUUGAACCAUCUUUUCUUUUAAGUGUUGAUAAAUCCAACAAGACUUAGCUCCAAAUCAAAAAUAUGACUUCAGUUAGGUGUUGGUAAUUCUAUCACUGGAGAAGAGAAAGGAUGGAAGAAGCUGCAUUUUUCAAAGCACUCGUUGCAAAAUGACUUCUGUUUCCUUGAAUUCCCAGAUUUUAUCACUUGGAAUCUAUCAGGUGUUUGACUUUUUGGUAGUUUUUGAGCAGAACAAUUAGUAAAAGUCUUUCUUAACUUUUCGUUAAAUAUUAGCAAACUCACUUUCCAAAAUGUAACACAAAAACUCAACAGGAGGCUUAACCUAUCCUCCUUAGCUGGUGUUUCUUUGGCAGCAAUGAGAACUUAAACAGCUACUUAUUCCUCCCUGAUUAUUCAUUUUCUUCAGUUUUUAUUACAGCAGAUUGAGGUCUAGUGUAUUCAGCCUCUUCAUAUUAAUGCAUAUACUUAAAAAUGGAUCUCACUCUGUCUUUUCAGCUGGAAAUAAAAAAAAAGAAGUGGUGUUAAUUGAAAAUGGUUGUGUGGGUUCUCUCUACAAUCAGGAGAGACAGGCACCUCCAGAUGGUGACUCGUGCUUUUACUGAACAUGGGCUACAUUCAGAGGCCUCCUCAGGACUGUGAAAACACUCCAGCUGUGUCUGUAAGGCUAAGCUGCUCAGGGCAGAAUAAAAGCUUAAGCUUUUUCCCUAGUGGUGUGUAGUUUGUUUGUGAGCGUACAGCUGUGGCUUUGUCAGGCACCCACCAAUGCUGCCCUAACCGGUGUUCAGGCUUUGAUGGGGUGGGGAAUGCUGCUCCUGGGUUGCAGAACAGGUCCUAAAUAAUGGCCCGUGGCAAAGUUAGCCUUUUUGUGCUUCACAGUCAAGAGUGCUGGGCCUACUGAAAAUGAUGGCAGUUCAUCCCUCUGGAGACCAGCCUGCUGCUUGCCUUGGAACACUUUAGAUCCCUGGCAAAUCUCAGAAGAGCUUAUUAAACCUGCAUUUUAGAAUCAUCUGAAUAGUCCCUGCUGCUAUUGAGUUGGCCAGCUUUUUGUUGAGCUGAGUAUUUAUCUUUUUGGGUCUCUCUAAGGCAAAUGAGUAUUUGGCACUCAGACCACCUGGAAUUUACUCUAUUAUUUGGUUUCUUUACCUUCCAUGUUAAAUCUUUUGGGUUUUAGACUGCAUUGAACUACUGUGAAUGAGUCCAAAAUGCAUAUAAGAAAGCAACACCACAAGUAAUUUUUCUCAGGGUUUAUGAACAAGCUGCUGUUCAAUAAAACACUAAAGUACCUUUUUAAUAGGUCCUGUUGAUUUCUAAUUGUCUAUUCAAUGAAAUGUUUUGCUCAGAUGGGGCCUAUAGCAAAGAUGAGUUGCAUCAUUUUCUGUUUAUUGGAAGGGAGCAAUUACAGAUACAUAACAUACGUUAAGUUAAAUUCUUACCAAGAAGUUAGAGAAUCUACAUACUCUACAAGAAGCUUUUUUGUUGUAUGAUUACUGUGGUAAUAAAGGAAACAUUUUCACUGAAAAUAGAUGCACAGAGGAAAAUAGAUUUUGAUUAGAACAGCAUAAUGUGGAAUACUGAGACCCACAUGCAAGUCCCUGCUUGGAUGUAUUCAACCAGGAUCUCAGUGUGGUGGAGAGUGUCAUAAUAGCAACUUUUUCUUCUCUGCAUGUAUUAAUUUUUGUAGGAAAUGCUUGAACGCUUUUUUAUAAUCCCUACAUGUGCUGAAAAUAAACACUCCUUUUUUUCAGGAGCACAAGUUUUCUUUUUGGGUACCCAUAGCUUUUUGUAUGCAGAGCAGAACUGACAGAAGAUGCCUGGUUUUCAGGAGAACACUGUUUUGGAGCAGUCUGGCAGGGCUUCUGCAAACAUGAGAGUUGAUUGCUGCCUCUUGAGCUGUAGAGUUUCAGCAGAUGAUACAGAGUGUGCUGCACUGCCAAUAAAAAGAAGUUAUUUUAGCUGCAGCUCUACCUGCUUGAUGUCUCCCAUAUGCUGGCAUUUCUUAGUCGUGUGAGGGCUCUUCAAGAUCAUAUAUUAAAAAAUUAUAAGGGACUGGACUUUGAAUGUACUAAAACUGAAAUGAGCAUUGAAAUGGCUGGAGAUAAGUCCUUUAGUGUAUCAUUCGGUCAUGCUGCAUGCCUGUUAUAAAACAGACCUGUCUGUAGCUGAAAGCCUAUCUGAGUAUGAGGCUUGUAUAUAUGAGGAGGUCACUGGAAGGUGAAUGCCUGGUGCUGCAUAGGGCAAGGACUUCCAAAAAACACUGUAGUUUUAUUUGUGUCAAUAAUGAAAUCCCUAUUGAGCCAAUAAUGGGUUAGGUCAGCAGUCAGUGCUCUUGAAACUCCUGCCCCAUAAGCAUUUCCAAGAAUUGUUCUAUGCACAGGCAGAAACAGUAGGUUUUUUUCUUUUGUGCUUGUUACCUUGCGUUGAAAAUGGAAUGAACUGUCAAUCAGAACUCUUAUGUACCCUUUUUAGAGGUCUCUGUAGACUACCUAAAUAAUAUAUAGGCACACAGUUAUAUAAACAACAUAGCUGAUAGCACAAAGUUUAUCGCUCAAACACUGAUUAGUAUCUUGAAGAAUUACUUUAAAAUCAUUUUGUGAAAAAAAAUUUGCACAAAUUUUACAUGUGAAAAAAGAUCCCAUUUUAUUCUUCUAAAAUACACUAAUUGAACAAACUCUAUAUUAGAGAUAUGUGUUUCCCCUGAUUUUUUUUAAGUUAUUCUGCCCUUCUAAAUCUGUAUUCAAGUCCAUAUGUCUGCAAAGCUUCCAAUUUUAGACUACUUCAUGUGUUGUCCUUAAAUAAAAAGAUUAAAUGUUAUACUCUAAAUGUGGUCAGAAAAAGAAAGAAAAA